ACAGGGGCGCCUACGAUGUUCAACAGGCUGAGAAGCACCCUUUGAACCUGAACCGGAUAACACCGGCGUAGGGAGUCGU
rnacentral:ncRNA from 1 species